CGCGUAGACGGGUGCGUAAGUCAGAUGUGAAAUACCGGGGCUCAACUCCGGGGCUGCAUUUGAAACUAUGUAUCUUGAGUGCAGGAGAGGUAAGUGGAAUUCCUAGUGUAGCGGUGAAAUGCGUAGAUAUUAGGAGGAACACCAGUGGCGAAGGCGACUUACUGGACUGUAACUGACGUUGAGGCGCGAAAGCGUGGGUAGCAAACA
rnacentral:rRNA from 1 species